CCAAUAGCGUAUAUUAAAGUUGUUGCAGUUAAAAAGCUCGUAGUUGAAUUUCGGGGUUAGUAGGUUGGUCAUGCCUCUGGUAUGUACUGGUCUCACUGAUUCCUCCUUCCUGAUGAACCGUAAUGCCAUUAAUUUGGUGUUGCGGGGAAUUUGGACUGUUACUUUGAAAAAAUUAGAGUGUUUAAAGCAGGCAUUUUGCUUGAAUACAUUAGCAUGGAAUAAUAAAAUAGGACGGAUGGUUCUAUUUUGUUGGUUUCUAGGAUCACCGUAAUGAUUAAUAGGGAUAGUUGGGGGCAUUAGUAUUCAAUUGUCAGAGGUGAAAUUCUUGGAUUUAUUGAAGACUAACUACUGCGAAAGCAUUUGCCAAGGAUGUUUUCAUUAAUCAAGAACGAAAGUUAGGGGAUCGAAGACGAUCAGAUACCGUCGUAGUCUUAACCAUAAACUAUGCCGACUAGGAAUCAGACGAUGUUAAUUUUUUAAUGACUCGUUUGGCACCUUACG
rnacentral:rRNA from 1 species